GAUGAACGCUGGCGGCGUGCCUAAUACACGAAAGUCGAGCGAACGGACGAGAAGCUUGCUUCUCUGAUGUUAGCGGCGGACGGGUGAGUAACACGUGGAUAACCUACCUAUAAGACUGGGAUAACUUCGGGAAACCGGAGCUAAUACCGGAUAAUAUUUUGAACCGCAUGGUUCAAAAGUGAAAGACGGUCUUGCUGUCACUUAUAGAUGGAUCCGCGCUGCAUUAGCUAGUUGGUAAGGUAACGGCUUACCAAGGCAACGAUGCAUAGCCGACCUGAGAGGGUGAUCGGCCACACUGGAACUGAGACACGGUCCAGACUCCUACGGGAGGCAGCAGUAGGGAAUCUUCCGCAAUGGGCGAAAGCCUGACGGAGCAACGCCGCGUGAGUGAUGAAGGUCUUCGGAUCGUAAAACUCUGUUAUUAGGGAAGAACAUAUGUGUAAGUAACUGUGCACAUCUUGACGGUACCUAAUCAGAAAGCCACGGCUAACUACGUG
rnacentral:rRNA from 1 species